UCCCCUGUAGCUCAGCUGGCAGAGCGUUCGACUGUUAAUCGAAAUGUCGCUGGUUCGAACCCAGCCGGGGGAGCCA
rnacentral:tRNA from 1 species